AAAAUAUUAUUUAAAUUGACAUCAUUAUUAUAAUAUUUAGGGUCAGACCCUACAGUAUUGAGAUUAAGAAAUCAAAUAUUCUAUAAACUGAACUCAUUUGGAUAUAUUUAAGUGAGACUCUACAAUAUUAUUUGACACAAAUCUAUCUAAAUUUUAAUCAUUUUUAUUCCAAACAUUUACUGGCCUGAUUUAAAUAUUAAAAUCACUCCUUUCUAAUCCUCUGCUGUACGUUCAAACCUGAGGCCUUAAAUAGAAACACACAAGUAUCUGUUUGAAGGAACUUCUGCAGAGUCCUGGUUCCAGAACAUGAUGAUAGAAUUAUAGACAAACUUUAACAAAAGCUGCCUGAGAGUUUACAGGUUUUUAUGUUGGAUUUCUUCAGUAAUUUAAUGAGCGUUAUCAGCAAAAAUCAAGUGUUCAUUUGAUGAACUUAAUUUCCUAAAACAUCCAGAAUUGGAGCUCAUAUCUUUGGCAGCUGUAAAGUUUCUGCUCCUUCAAAGUUCACAACACAAUGAAUGAAUUCCUAAAACACUCUCAAUGCUGGAGAGCGUUUGUGAUGCUGAAGCAGUGAUCAGUUUUUCUGUUUCUUCUCUGGAGAUGCACAAUGAGGGACGUCUGCAGAGACUGAGAAAGAGUCUCACCACAUCCUGACAUGAGGAAAAAGACUUUAUUGAAGACUACAAUGAGAAAAACUAUCAGACAGCAGACGGCAUGCAUUCAAGAGAAGAAGACCAUCAAACAUCCACGUCAGCUGAUGGAGGUCCAAGAGUCUCACCGAACAACCAACCUACAGAGUGAAGACCUCGAAUCUGAUUGGACGGCCUCCUAUUCAGCCACAUGUGUGAACAAAUGCCUCUAAGCUGAUUUGUUUUCUAAAAUAAAUCUAGUUUGAGUCCUAAUCUAUGCCUGUGUGUUUGCUUCUUUACACCACUGUUAACAGUUUAGGCUGUUAGAUUGUUCCAGAUAAGACAAGUACAAGAUUCUUCAGAGCCGUUCUACCACGAGCCUGACAGGAAGAACUCCAACAGCUACUGAAUGUUCCUGUGCUUCCCUCAAGGCUACAGGAGGAGCCCUACGAGGACGAGCUGGUCCACCUGAUGGCGGCCAGUCGCUGCGGUUCAAAGCCAACACCGACUACGUGGACUUCUACUGGACCACACGGAGGCCUUCAAACCGGACCAACAAGUUCAGCGACUCCCCGACUUGUGGGUCUGAGGACGCCGCCGAGCCUCGGUCCAGCCGGCCUCCUGUCUGUGGGUGUUUGAGUGCUGAGAG
ensembl:lncRNA